rnacentral:other from 1 species
CGCCAGCUGCGGUGUUCGAGGCGGGCCGGGAAUCCUCUCGACCCUAAAUACUAACCUCGGGGCCCAUCCUGUCGAUGCCGUUGUGCAGGUCCGGAUAACCGGGAAGCCUGAGGCAUCACGGUAGACCCCACUUAUUGCUCUGGCUCGAGAGCAAUGGCUCAAGACGGCAUUGCGGCGGCGC